ensembl:lncRNA
GGGAAGGUGUUCCCUGAAAACUGAGUUCAUCCCUUGGUGGGUGUCUGUUGCUGCUAAGUCACUUAAGUCGUGUCCGACUCUGUGUGACCCCAUAGAUGGCAGCCCACCAGGCUCCCCUGUCCCUGGGAUUCUCCAGGAAAGAACACUGGUGGGUGUCACAACCAAGCAAAAGGAUCAGAAGGAAGGAUUUAUUACAACAGCAAGAAAGGAAAACGAGGGGCAUUUCCUCCAAGGCAGUGUCUCCCCAACAGCAAAAUUGGGGACGUUUUAACCUAAGGUCAGUUCAGUCGCUCAGUCUCGAACACAAUUGAGUGACUGAACUGAACUGAACUGAACAAAGCAGUCACUGUGGGAAAAUUCUGGCAGUUCCUCAAACUUAAAUAUGGAGCUGCCAUUUGAUCCAGCAAUUCUGCUUCUAGAUAUAUACCCAAUAUAUUGAAAACAUAGAUUCACACAAAAACUUGUACAUGAAUGCUUAUAGCAGCAUUACUCACAACCGAAAGGUGGAAACAACCCGAAUGUCAACCCAACUGAUGAAUGGAUAAACAAGUGGUAGGGGAUCCCUACAAUGGAAUAUUAUUCAGCUAUAAAAAGGAAUGAAGUACCGAUCCAGGCGAGGACAUGGGUAAAUCUUGAGAACAUUAUGGUUAGUGAACAAAGCCAGAUACGAAUGGCCACAUGUCUGAUUCCAUUCGUAUGAAAUGUCCAGAACAGGCAAAUCCAUAGAGACAGACAGUAGACUGGUA